rnacentral:sRNA from 1 species
UACUACAUGGGCGAUGAUCUGGUAACCU